AUGACCACCACGCGAAGCUCGCAGUCCCAUAGCUCCCAGCCACUGCCGAUAAUCCUAGUCCUCCUCCUUGCAGCAGCAGCAUCAACUCGCUUGAUCUUACAGGCGGCUGCUGCUGCUGCUGCUGCAGAACAAGAUGAGAAGCAGCCGAUCACGCUUCCGGGUUGCCCCGACAGGUGCGGCGACACUCUCAUCCCCUUCCCGUUCUGCACGAAGCCCGGCUGCUUCCGCGAGGGCUUCCAGGUCACCUGCAACGACUCCUUCAGUCCCCACCGCGCCUUCCUCGCCUACGCCGGAGUAAACCAGCACAUAGCCGAGAUAUACUACAAGGUGGGGUGGCACCAUCCUGUGUGGAGGACCGACCAUGGCAACACGGCCCUGGAGCUCAUAGACAUAUCGGUGGCCGACGGCGAGGCGCGCGCUUAUGUCCUCGUUUCGUCCCUCUGCAACGCCGCCAACCUCAGUGGCGACUACGUCGCCAAGUGCCAGAACCUGGCGCUGGGCGAGAGGGGCCCGUUCCUGCUGUCGGUGACGCGCAACCUCCUCGUCGGCGUGGGCUGGAGAGUGGAACCCAAGAUCAUGAGCUACCUGUGGUCAGCGUACCGGAACUCCACCUAUGAGUUCUCGCUCGCCUGCCUCUCGGACCUUAUGGGCAUGCCCAAGCUCCUGCAGCUGGCGACCAACGGGUCGUGCUCCAGCCGGGGCUGCUGCCAGGCCGCGCUGCCGGAGGCGGCCCCGCUCACCGACUUCGGGACGUGGUUCAGCAUCGAGGACAACCCCAUGUGGCAGACCAACCCGUGCACCUACGCCAUGGUGGUCGAGAGCGACUGGUACCGCUUCUCCACGCCGGACCUGUACGGCGUCGAGGUGCUGCCCAGGAGGUACCCGAGGGGCGUCCCCUUCGUGCUCGACUUCUCCAUCCGGAACGGUGCAUGCCCGGGGAAAGGCCGGAAACCACCGCCGGACUACGCCUGCGUCAGCGGCAACAGCUAUUGCGCCAACGCGACUGGUGGUGCUGCCCAUGGCUAUGUCUGCAGGUGCUUGGAACACUACGAUGGCAACCCUUACAUCGCCAAUGGAUGCCAAGACAUCGACGAGUGUAAGCUCCGAAAACUGAAUCCUGAGUUGUAUCCUUGUUCGAGUGAUGGGAUCUGCAAGAACAGGCUGGAAGACUAUGACUGUCCAUGUAAACUCGGAAUGAAAGGCGACGGUGGAAUAGGUGGUAUUUUUAUCAUUGCGGCUAUAUCAUUCCUUAUUCUUCUUCGCAAAGAGAAACAAAAGACAAGAGAGUUUUAUCAAAAGAACGGCGGGCCUACGUUAGAGAAGGCAAAGUUCAUAAAACUUUUCAAAAAGGAGGAGCUCAAGCCAAUUUUGAACAGUAGCAAUUUCAUUGGAAAAGGUGGCUUUGGAUAAGUUUAUAAGGGCUUUCUUGAUAAUGAAGAAGUUGCGGUAAAGAAGCCAAUUAGUGGUACUAUGCUAGAGAAUGAACAGUUUGCAAACGAAGUCAUCAUUCAGUCUCGAGUAAUCCACAAGAACAUCGUUAGGCUCAUAGGAUGUUGCCUAGAAGUUGAUAUCCCGAUGUUGGUCUACGAGUUUCUCUCCAAUGGUAGCCUUGAUGACAUUCUUCAUGGCAAAAAGAAGGUGGCGCUCAACUUGGGUGUCCGUUUAAGUAUUGCUGUCGAAUCGGCGGAUGCUCUGGUCUAUAUGCACUCAAAAACCAAUGCCAAAAUCAUACAUGGUGAUGUCAAACCUGCAAAUAUACUCUUGGAUGAUAAGUUUGCGCCCAAGAUCUCAGACUUUGGCAUAUCAAGGCUGAUUGCGAGAGACAAAAAACACACCGGAUCUGUCAUUGGUGACAUGAGUUAUAUCGAUCCAGUGUAUCUACAAACAGGCCUACUAAUUGAGAAAAGUGAUGUCUACAGUUUUGGUGUUGUCAUACUGGAACUUAUUAGUGGGCAGAAAGCCACACAUUCUGAUGGCGGCAGCUUAGUAAACAGUUUCCUUGAAGCUGGGAAGAAAGAGAAGAAAGUGACAGAGUUGUUUGACAAGGAAAUUGUAGCCGCAGGAGAUUUGGAGAUUCUUGAUAGUUUGGCAACGAUCGCUUUGGAAUGCCUUAACCUUGAUGUGGAUCAAAGACCAUCGAUGACAGAGGUAGUAGAGCGUCUUCUCAUAAUGAACCGGUCCCGUAAGUCGUAA
rnacentral:rRNA from 1 species